GACGAACGCUGGCGGCGGGCUUAACACAUGCAAGUCGAACGGAAAGGCCCUGCUUUUGUGUGGUGCUCGAGUGGCGAACGGGUGAGUAACACGUGAGUAACCUGCCCUUUACUUUGGGAUAACUUCAGGAAACUGGUGCUAAUACCUGAUAGGAGCUCCUGCUGCAUGGUGGGGGUUGGAAAGUUUCGGCGGUUGGGGAUGGACUCGCGGCUUAUCAGCUUGUGGGUGGGGUAGUGGCUUACCAAGGCUUUGACGGGUAGCCGGCCUGAGAGGGUGACCGGCCACAUUGGGACUGAGAUACGGACCAGACUCCUACGGGAGGCAGCAGUGGGGAAUAUUGCACAAUGGGCGGAAGCCUGAUGCAGAAACGCCGCGUGCGGGAUGACGGCCUUCGGGUUGUAAACCGCUUUAGCCUGUGACGAAGCGUGAGUGACGGUAAUGGGUAAAGAAGCACCGGCUAACUACGUG
rnacentral:rRNA from 1 species